GCCAUGAUCUGUAGUCUAUGAUUGAAUGAACGUGAUGUUUUGGAUUAUGGUGUAUUUUUAUUUAAACUAUUGAGACAUUUGUAGAGGUAAAAUGGUAAAUGAAGUUACUGUUGCCAUGGAUUCUGAAGAAAAAGUCACAGAUGAUGCUCUGGAUCUGUCAGAAUUGGAAAACCACAGUGAGAUUGUGCAGAACGUAAACGCUCUGCAUCAGAGUGUGGACAGAAUUGACAAGAUUGUGGACACACUGUGUAAAAGUGACAUUUAUGCCAGCCUCGAUGUUGAGAGCCGUGUGAAGCACGAUUUGUUUGUGUCUUAUUCACUUAACUCAUUAUUUUGGAUGUAUUUGCGUACAAAGGGGUGCAACCCGGCACGUACCCAGAUUAAGUCAGAAAUUGGUCGUGUGAAAACUUACUUCGAUAAAUUUCAAAAGAUACGUGAUCGUAAGACGGUAAUGCCGCGCAUAGAUCAAGGUGCCACUAAGCGGUUUGUCAAAAGUAGCCUGUGGGAACCACAGAAAGAAAAGAAAAAGAAGCAGUGAUACUUCAUUUGUGUUGUGUUUUAACUGAAACAGGAGCAGUUUUUUUUUUAUUUUUUACUCUUAAUGUUGACAGAGGACAUUUUAUUAUUUCUCAUUAGAAAGUUAAGUUUUGACCAGGAAGUCAAUAACCAAAAUUAUGUAUUAUUUGUCUUGUACAUUUUGCCAUACCCUAAGAAGUUGCAUAAAAAUUGUUUUAUUUGUCAAUGACUGGCCUAUGUUUAGCAAGAAAAGCAUGAGACAGGUACUUAUGUACUCAGAUUUUGCAAGAUAUAUUGAUGAAUUUUUUUCUCAAUCGGCAGUAAAAUUAUAUUAAAUAAU